rnacentral:misc_RNA from 1 species
GUAUCUCCGAGUUGGGGUUGCGUCGUGCCCUGCUCCGGCCUGAAGGCCGUGCAGCGGGUUCCCGCCCCCGACUCGCCACCCAACAAACCCUGUGCUCCUUCACGGCCAGAGGGCGCUGUCGGCGAAAGCCGCGUGCGACCGAAGCCGCAUUAAACAAACCCCAGUUCAAAAGAAUGUCAAGCGGACUCUGUGCCGUCUACAAUUGAAACAACUUUCAACAACGGAUCUCUUGGCUCU